UGGGCUCAAGCCAUCCUCCCGUCUUAGUCUCCUGAUUAGCUGGGACUACAGGUGCGCACCACCACGCCUGGCUAACUCCUAAAUAUAUACUUAUGCAGUUGGUUUCAGAGGGAGCUCUGAUUUCACUCUGGAGCCGACACUUAUUUCAGUGACAUUCUCACUUGAUGGGUGGCCCUCUGAGAGGAAGCCUGCCCACCAUAAGUGGGCCUCUUGCUGUGAUACAGUGGUUUUCAGACUCUUUCUGGCCUCCUCCUGACAACAGAGUGGUCGUCCGUCUCUACUGUGAACCCGAGGUCUCUGGAGAGUGAGGCUUGAAGACCAGUGGUGCAGUGAUUUUAACUCUAGCUUUGCAGUCUAGUCAGAACAUUCCUAGUAAUAUCAAGGUGGCUCACACCUGUAAUCCUAGCACUUUUGGGAAGCUAAGGCGGGAGGAUCGCUUGAGCUCAGGAGUUUGAGACCAGCCUGGGCAACAUAUCAAGACCCCAUCUCUAACAAAAAUAAAAAUAAUUAGCCAGGUUUGG
rnacentral:lncRNA from 10 species